rnacentral:lncRNA from 1 species
UAGCUCCACAUUGUGAGAUGGUCUAUGGAGAGGCCCACAUGGCAAAGGAUAGACCAACAGCCCACGAGAAACUGAAUCCUGCCAAGAGCCCUGUGAAUGAGGUGACCGCAGCAUUGGGAGAGACCCAGAGCCUGCCUUCCUGUGCUACUCUACUCUUCCUCAGAAACCACAACACGCCUAUAGGAUCUACAUGCCUCCCUCUCACCAAUCCCAUUCUAGGAAUUGAAUCCAAGGGCGCUCUGCUGGAUGAUUUAAAUAAAGGUAAGCAUAAAAUGGAAAUUUAGCAACCCCUCCCUCCAGCAAAUAUUUAACUCUCAAUACUAUAUUCCAUGAAGAACUAGUAUUUCUCUUAAAUUUAGAUGACAUGCAGCUUAUUAGUAGCAGGUAAUACAAAAUUAAAACCUUAGUCACCUAGAAUAUUAUUCAGUUA